GAUGAAGAACGCAGCGAAAUGCGAUAAGUAAUGUGAAUUGCAGAAUUCAGUGAAUCAUCGAAUCUUUGAACGCACAUUGCGCCCGCCAGUAUUCUGGCGGGCAUGCCUGUUCGAGCGUCAUUUCAUCCCUCAGGCCCCCAGUGCCUGGCGUUGGGGAUCGGCGCGGCGCCCUCCGGGGCGCUGCCGGCCCCGAAAUUCAGUGGCGGUCUCGCUGUAGCCCUCCUCCGCGUAGUAGCACAACCUCGCGGCCUGGAGCUCGGCGGUGGCCAUGCCGUAAAACACCCCACUUCUGAAAGUUGACCUCGGAUCAGGUAGGAAUACCCGCUGAACUUAAGCAUAUCAAUAAGCGGAGGA
rnacentral:misc_RNA from 1 species